UUAUUCUUGCAAAUUAUAAAGUUUGGGGCCCAAUUGAAAGCAUCCAGAAGUUCAAGGACCAUUCGCGCUAUUAUGGAAGGUCUGCAAGAUUAAAAUAUUUGAGGCUGGAUCAAAAGGACGUUUCUAACAAUUCAACAGUUUCGGGGUCAAAUCGUAAUUAUCUGAAACGUGAAGGGCCAGAUGUGCAAAUAAGGCUGAGAUCAUCAUCGUCGUUCUUCUUGCCCACUUCGAUCCGCGACGGCGAGCUUGAUUCCGACGAUGAGCACGGCCACGAUGAUGAAGCUGAGCAUGACGAAGAAGACGGAGCUGAGUGUAAGGCGGACCGAGCAACGGGGAGAUACAUCAGAGCUUGACGGUUGGUUCCAAAGAUUCCAUGGCGGACUCAUGUCGAGGAAGAAGCUGGAAUCACGGUGGCUAGGAUCUGAGAGCACGAGGGGGAGAAGGAGACAACCGCGCAGUCACGGGAUCUAACAAAACGCGGUGAUGUUUGGAGGAUUGCGACGGCUUGGCCAUGGCGAAGAAGAAGAAGUCAAGCUCAGCUAGAGAUCUGCAGCGGCUUGUUACAGAGGUCCAGAGACACCGCUCGGAAUUCAGUGGGCUCGGACGCGACCACUGGUUGUGGGUUUGUGACACCGCGCGGCAUGGAAGCGGAAGUUGGAGCGACCAUUGGGAGCGGGCACGAGACAUAGCUCGCACACGUCGAGCUUGCAGCGGUCACGGGCAGCGGGCUGAAGUGGUCGCUGUGCCUCACACGAUCCAUGGAGCGGAUGUUCGGAGCGGGAUCACGAAGCUGCUCUCACUCUUUGGUUUGUCGAAUUUUAUUUAUUUUAUGUGCCUUUUUGAGAUUUGUUAAUUGGUCCAUUCGUUUUUAGAAGUCCUAUAUAUAUAUAUAUUUUAGAACUAAAAAUGAGGGAUAUCUUGUUUUCUCUGAAAAUACAUUUGAUACUUUGGAGAAAGUUUGAAUCUUUAGUAAUUUAAUCUUUAUUUCUUGAGUAAUUUGAGUCUUUCUCAUUUUCUUGGCAUGAUUUCUCUUGAAUCUAUUAUGGGUUUAAGGUUAAUCACGAAGAUUAGUGAAUAGACUCUUUUUGGAUUCAUGAGUUAUGAUGAUUAGGAUGAUUAAGUGAUGAUCUAGAAUGUUUAGAGUAGAUUAAUAUGUUUCUUUGCUUGAUUGAGUGAUCUUAAUGCUAAUAUAGAGUUAGCCAUUUUAGAUUAGAAAUCUAGACAUUUCAUUGCCCGGAAGGUGUUCGAUGAAUUGUCUAAGCCAACUCAACAUGCUCUUAGCUUACCCUACCAAAGGCAUUUGAUGUUAGGGGAGUUUAGAAAGUUGAAUGAUCUGUUCUUAAUGAUUGCUUGAUUGCCACAAACCAAAGGCAUUUGAUUUUUGAUCAAUGAGAGUAAAUGAGAUUUUGUCUUGACAAAGAACUUGUUUAGAAUUGUUAUCUAGACUUAGGAGAAUGUGUUGAUUGAAACCUUGCCAUUUUAGAUUGAAUCUUAGUCAUUUGAAAUCAAAUUCCUAUACCCAUGAUUUCUCUUUUAUCAAUUUGCUUAAAAGUUGCUAGUUAAUUGUGUUAGAGUCUUGUUAGCUUAAUCAAAUCACUUCAUUACAUUGAAUGCAUUUAGCUUAAGCAUGAGCCUGAAUUCUCUUUGAACUGAAACACUUAGAAAUAAAUUGACAUCUAAAAUACUACAUUGAUUUGAACCUUGGACCCUUGAAAAGUCCAUAUCAAAUUUGGCGCCGUUGCCAAUUCUAAGUUGAUUUUGAUAUUGAGAUUUUGUGCUUGCUUGAGACUAAGUUUUAUUUUCUUGUAUCUAGUUACUGAUUCUCUCUCCUAGCUCUUUUGAAUGUCAGGUGCAUGAACUUGAGGAGUUGAAGACAUUAGAGCUUUUGAAAGGGAGAUUGCAAAGAAGAGAAGAGAAGAAGAAAGGAAAGCUCAUUUGGACAGAGUUGAGCUUGAGAUGGAGGGGAAUCACCACCAAGCUAGAGCUAUUGGCACCUAUGAUCUGCCUCAUAUCCAUGGGAAUAUGAUGGGCAUUAGAGCACCAGCUGUGGAGAACAAAAACUUUGAGAUCAAAUCCAGCUUGAUCAACAUGAUAGAGAACAACAAGUACCAUGGUCUUGCUUUGGAGGAUCCACUUAUUUGGACAUGUUUGACAAGUAUUGUGGUUUGUCCAAGACCAAUGAUGUCUCUGAAGAUGUUUUCAAGCUGAGAUUGUUUCCAUUCUCCCUAGGAGACAAAGCUCACACAUGGGAGAAGAACAUCCCAAGUGACUCUAUCACCACUUGGGAUGAAUGCAAGAAGGCCUUCCUCAACAAGUUUUUCUCUCCUUCAAAGACUACCAAGCUUAGGAAUGAGAUCUCUGGGUUUCAACAGAAGAAUCUUGAAGGCUUUGGAGAAGCAUAUGAGAGGUUCAGAGGCUACUUAAACCAAUGUCCACACCAUGGAUUCACCAAAGAGAGCUUGCUUAGUACUUUCUACAGAGGUGUCUUGCCUAAGUAUAGAAGCCGACUUGAUACUGCUAGCUAUGGUUUCUUCUUGGGGAGAAAUGAAGUAGAUGCUGAGGAGCUUGUAGAGAACAUGGUUCAGAGUGAUUCAGUCUACAGUGAUGAGCAUGAUAGGAGCAACAGAGGCAGUGAAGGAGAUGAUCAAGACACAAGGAGAGAGUUGAAGACUCUACAAGAUAAGAUGGAUUUUCUUCUUUCAGAUAGAGCCAAACAAGAGAAAGUAAACUUUGUUUGUGAUCAUAAACAAGAGGAAAUGGUUGUGGUUAAUGAAGUUGAUGGUCUAGAAGGUCAAAAAGAGCUAUGUUUCGUUAAUGCUAAUGGGACAUGGUACAAGAAGGAGCCUCACUUUCAAUACCAAAACAACUACCAGCACAAGCCCUUCUACAACAACCAACAAGGAAGUUACCAAGCUAGACAAAACUACUCACAAGGUUUCUCCUCCAAAGGAAAUCAGUCUCACAAGGCCAAGCCGAAUCUUCUACUCUUGCUCCACAAGAAAGUAGCACUGAUGCAAUGUUGAAAUAUAUCUUGGAGUCUCAAACUAGAAGUGAGAAGCACAUUGGAUAUGAGUUGAAGAACCUUCACACCAAAGUUGAUGGGAGCUACAAUGAUCUCAACAACAAAUUCUCAAACCUUGCUUCUAACUUCAAGGCUUUGGAGAAUCAGUUUACUCUAUGACUUCAACCUCCAAGCGCCCAAUGGGAUCUCUACAAGGGAAAUCAGAGCAACACCCUAAAGAGUAUUGCAAUGCUAUCCUUUUUCUUCUUCUGAGAUUGAGUUGAGUGAUCAUAGGAGAGAAGUAGAUGAGCUUGAAAGACUCUUGUAUGGAACAGAAGUUGUUGCCAAGGUUGAAGCACAUAUUGUGGAGAAGGUUGAACACAAGAUUGUGGAAAGGGUUGCGAUACAAACUGUAAAGAAGGUUGAGGAAAAUGUUUUGCAACCAGUUAGACAUAAGGCUGAGAAACCAAUUAUUGGGAAAAUUGCCACGCAAUUGAAGGAGGUCCAGUUAGAAGAAGCUAAUGAGGUUGAGCAAUCACCUUAUGACAAGCUCCCUUUUCCACAACGGUUCCUCACUAAAGCUCAAAAGAAGGUGAUCUCUAAGUUCAGAACAGACAUGGGAGAUGUAGGAGUCAAGCUUCCACAUAUAUCGAAUAUGCAUGAAGCUCAUGUCCAAAUGAUGCUCAUCAAGGACAUUCUAGCUCACAAAGAAGAAGUAGGAGAGAUCCUGGACAUCUCUACUAUGCAGCUUGAUCCACCAGUCACACCAAAGUACAUUCCCAAACAAGAAACCCAAGGGAAGUUCACCUUGUCUUGCUCCCUUGGUAAGUUCACACCUGAUGAUGCUCUUGUUGAUUAUGGUGCAAGUGUGAAUGUGAUCUCAAUAGAGAUGGUGAAGAGUCUUGGGAUUGAAAACAUGGAGCCAAACACAUCUUUUUUACUAAUGUUUGGGGAUUCCUCUUCUACAACCCCAAUCGGUCUCAUCAAGGACUUUCCAUUGAAGAUUGGAGCUUGCACCAUUCCUAUUGACCUCAUUGUUUUGAAGAUGGCAACUGAGAAGAGAGUCUCAUUAAUCCUUGGAACACCAUUUCUCACAAUAGUAGGAGCUUGCAUUGACUUUGCCAACAAGAAGGUUACACUUUUAAAUGUGAACAAAGCUGUCUCUUACCCAAUCAAGUCUCCUUUGAUGAAUGUGGAGUAUUGUGGAACCAUCACUUGUGGAGAACUUCCACAUGAGAAGAUCAAAAAUGAAGUGAUGGCUAGUGAAAAAUAAAUUCUUGAUGGAGAUUCAUCUCGUGAGAUCUGUGAUGAGCACUUGAAUAGUGCUAAAAUAGAGGAGGUGGGUAGAGCAACAAAGGCUACUCAUAACAAGAAGAAGAUGAUCAAAGAACCUUAUCCCACUCCUAUUGAGAAAUCUUCACACAUUCUCACUCUUUAUCCAAUGAAGAUCAAAGAUGGAGUGAUUGAGUACAAGAUCAAGUGCAAAGGAGAGUCUAAACCAUUCUCAAGUGCAAGGGCCAUCAUAACUCCUCAGCUCCAAUAUGAUCCAAUCAAGCUACAAUAACUCCUCUCUCAAGUCCUCACCAUCACCCUUGAAGGUGGGAAAGAUCCUCCUCUUCACUAGCCAAUUAGAAGGAACGUCAAGCUAAAGAUUCAAAACAAGCUCAUUUGGGAGGAAGUCCCAUGGUAUCCUUUGUAUAUAUUUCUAUAUAUUUUUUUCUUGCUUUAGUGUGUUUGAAUAAGCUUAGGGACAAGUUUUGGGGAAUUCUCAAAAAUUCCAAAAGGUAAUGUCGAAAAUUCCAAGGUAACAACAAGCCCUCCCUCCUCAUUUCCCUUCUCUCAUCAAAGCCAACUUCAAGUAAAUGCAUUCUACCUUUGUAAAUACUUAGUUAUCAUGUUUAUGUAUUUCCCUUAGAUAUCUUCUUUGAGCUUAUUCUAAUACAAGGGACUGUGUGAAGUAAGUUUGGGGAGAGUCUACUAUCUCACAUUGUGUUUUGUUUUGUCUAAUUGUCAUUGAGUCUCAUGCAUUCCAUUGUGCAUAUUUAUUUGCAUAGAAAACCCACAAAAAUUGAAUUUUUUUAAAAAUCACAAAAAGAAGCAUUUAGUUGCAUCAUUUGCAUCUUCAAGAUUGAGUCUAGAAGCAUUUAGAUUGCAUUCAUGCAUAGGGAAAAACCUUGUAAAGAACACAUGUCUAAAACUCAAUUUGACAUCCUAGCUAAGCAUAUCAAGUAGCUUAAGUAUCUCUUGAAAAAGCUUGUAACCUUCGAGCCUUGAAAACUCUUCUUGAAAUUUAUUGCUUGCUUGAUGAUUGACAUUGUUCUUGUAACCAACUCCAAAUGAACUAAGGCUUAAUGAACUUAAUCUCUCUUGCAUAUGGUUAUUUGCAUACUUGAUCAUGGAUAUUAUACAUAUUUGAGUUUUUUUUCUCUCUUUGUACCAAUCUUUGCUAACCCAAAUGGCACUUCCAUACCCAUUAACCCUCUCCAUUCCUUGAAGCCAACAGUACUUUGCUUGAGUGAUGUCUUUUAUUGAUAGCAUGUCAUGUGCAAAAUCUUGAGAGUAUUAGGAGCGAUAAUGGGUUGUUCUCAUCUUUGGCUAGCAUUAGGAUUUCAUUUGAGCUAGCCUCUAGGAUGGUUGUUGGGUUUGUGAGCUUAAAAUUCUUUUGAUCUUUGGAACUAGAGAGAUUGAGUGAGAAAAAUGAACCAAAAGAGUGCUUAAAGUAAAGAAACCCCUAGGGACAAAGAAAUUUAGAAAAUAAAAGCUCUAGAGUAUAAAUAGAACCCCCUCAUAAAAAAAAGAGAAUCAAAGAAAUAAUAAGUGACUGGGGAGAAGAAAAGAAAAGAGCUGAGCCAAAAAGAUCUAAAGUCUAAAUAAAAAAAAAGUCCCUAGUUGGUUUAAAUCAAUGGAGAGAAAAGAGUGUUCAUUGGGUGAAAGAUGAAAGUGUGUGUAUUUUGGGUUUGAGAAUGAAAAAAAAAGAUGGGUAGAACUCGAGACUAUCUAAGAAAAUGGUAGAAUGAUGAGAACAAAGCAUUGUAUGCAUGAAUUGCUCAUUUUCUUAGAUAAAUUUUGCAUAAUGAUCUUGCUCUUAUUCUUGAGUGUAAGUCACCAAUAAAAGAUGCAUUUGAAAACCUUCUUUCUUCACAUUAGACCACCUUCUCUCACCAAGUCAAAUGAUUGAGAUCAAAUAUGUCCAUUUGCAAGAAUUCACCUUGUGUGUGUAUGUUUGAAUAAAUGUGAGAGUUGGCUAAAGAACUUGUUGGUUUAAUGGCAUUACAAUUUGUGUAGAGGAAUAAGAGUUUUGAUAGGCCUAAAGAAGUUAGAGUGAACUAAGAGAGUUGCUCAUGCUAUUUGCUAGGUUUCUCUUAGGAUGUCACAUUGAAAGUUAGAAAGUGCGUCUUUCGGUUAUUAGCUCCCAAUUUUAAAUAUCUCUCUCUUGAUUGUUCUUAAAAUUCACUUGUGGACAAGUAAAGGACUUGUGUGGGGGAGUUGAUAACUCAUGAUUUUAAUGGUCUUUAGCAUCUUAUUUAGUUCAUUUUAAUCAUUAUAGGUUGCAUUUAGGUCUUAAUAUUGCAUUUACACGCAUAAUUGCAUAAACAUGGUCUAAAGUGCAUAUUUGAGAAGUUUGGGGUCAAACCGUGAGGUUAUUCUUACAAAUUAUAAAGUUUGGGGCUCAAUUGAAAGCAUCCAGAAGUUCAAGGACCAUUCGCGCUAUUAUGGAAGGUCUGCAAGAUUAAAAUAUUUGAGGCUGGAUCAAAAGGAUGUUUCUGACAAUUCAAUAGUUUCGGGGUCAAAUCGUAAUUAUCUGAAACGUGAAGGGCCAGAUGUGCAAAUAAGGCUGAGAUCACCAUUGUUGUUCUUCUUGCCCACUUCGAUCCGCGACGGCGAGCUUGAUUCCGACGAUGAACACGGCCACGAGGAUGAAGCUGAGCAUGACGAAGAAGACGGAGAUGAGUGUAAGGCGGAUCGAGCAACGGGGAGAUACAUCAGAGCUUGACGGUUGGUUUUGGAGCUUCCAUAGCGGACUCAUGUCGAGGAAGAAGCUUGAAUCACGGUGGCUAGGAGCUGAGAGCACGAGGCGGAGGAGGAGACGACCGCCCAGUCGCGGGAUCUAACAAAACGCGGUGAUGUUUGGAGGAUUGCGACGGCUUGGCCAUGGCGAAGAAUAAGAAGUCAAGCUCAACUAGCGAUCUGCAGCGGGUUGUUACAGCGGUCCAAAGACACCGCUCGAAAUUCAGUGGGCUCGGACACGACCUCUGGUUGCGGGUCUGUGACACUGCGCGGCAGCGACCAUUGGGAGCGGGCACGAGACAUAGCUUACAACACGUCGAGCUUGCAGUGGUCACGGGCAGCGGGCUGAAGUGGUCGUUGUGCCUCACACGAUCCAUGAAGCGGGUGUUCGGAGCGGGAUGACGAAGCCGCUCUCA
rnacentral:lncRNA from 1 species